rnacentral:rRNA from 1 species
UACGAGGGGAGCAAGCGUUGUUCGGAUUUACUGGGCGUAAAGGGCGCGUAGGCGGCGUGACUAGUCACUUGUGAAAUCUCCGGGCUUAACUCGGAACGGUCAAGUGAUACUGUCGUGCUAGAGUACAGAAGGGGCAACUGGAAUUCUCGGUGUAGCGGUGAAAUGCGUAGAUAUCGAGAGGAACACCUGCGGCGAAGGCGGGUUGCUGGGCUGAUACUGACGCUGAUGCGCGAAAGCCAGAGGAGCGAACGGG